UACGUAGGGGGCAAGCGUUGUCCGGAAUCAUUGGGCGUAAAGCGCGUGUAGGCGGUUCGGUAAGUCGGCUGUGAAAGUCCAGGGCUCAACCCUGGGAUGCCGGUCGAUACUGCCGGACUAGAGUUCGGAAGAGGCGAGUGGGAAUUCCCGGUGUAGCGGUGAAAUGCGCAGAUAUCGGGAGGAACACCAAAUGGCGAAGGCAGCUCGCUGGGACGUUUACUGACGCUG
rnacentral:rRNA from 1 species